AUGAUGGGAGGUGGGUCCAGGGUGAGAAUCCAGUGGGUAAAGGGAAAAGUGGUGUAAGGGAGGAGUAAUACAGGGCAGGGGCCGAUAAGGUAGGAUGGGUGGAACAGUGCAGUGAACAUAAACCAGUGGGGGGGGCGGGGGGGUACAGGGAUACAAGAACUUUCCAGAGCUGGGAGGAGACAAGGGAUGACAUAACUGGGAAUAGAGGCAACCAAUGGGAAAUGAGGGUUAUAAAGCUUUACCUUAAAGCUUUGCCAUAAAGAAUUUUUAAAACCUUUGACAACCUUCUUAGGAGCUAUUCUAAACUUAAACAAAUGCCCUCCAAGGUCUGGGGCCAUGGGCCAACUCCUCACCCAAAACACUGGUCUGGCUUGGCAUGUUAGUCAGUCCAAUUCCUACACUGGGCCUCUGCAUGAUAUUCGCCCAGAAGCUGCCUUUCAAGGACUGAAGUGGAACAAAAAGUAUAAAAGAAAUGUCAUUCCCAGAGGGAAAACAGUUUCAUUUCUCUUGUGUCUACUUUUUUUUUUUUUUUUAACAGUUACCUCAAAAUUCCCGGAUCCAGAACAGCUACUCUGAGUUUUGGUAGAGAUUCCAAAGCGGGAUACAGUAGAUUUCAAAGUACACCUUGGAAAAUCAAUCGUUUGUCUGCAGCAUGCAGCAUGUAGGUGUGAUGUCUGUAACUGGUCUUAGUUGAUGCAGAGGUACUUGGAAAAAAACGUUUAAUCUUUCAUCUCUCCCCACCUGCAUUCUUCCUAAGUGUACUUUUUAUUCAGCAGGACUCGGAUGAGAGAGAGAGAGAGAGAGAGAGAGGGAGGAACUCUCUUCACAUCAGCGUCAAAGGAAAAAGUGUUCAGCGACUUACAGUCCUAGUGACUGUUCUGUGUAAAAGCAGGAUUGUUUUGCCAUCAGACCUUGCGUGCCGUACCAGUCUGUGCGUUAACAGGUGCCUAAGAAAGGUCAAAAGGGAAUAACUCCAUGUCGUUCACUCGUGUGAAUCUUGGUGGGGAGCAGAGGCGAGAGUGAACUGCAGUGAGGGGGAGGUUACUGAAGCCCCAGUUUGUUUCCAGCGAGCGUGGUGUUGUGGUGUUCAAAGUUACAGGUGCCUGCUGGCCUGGAGCUGGAUACUUCUGCCUCUGCUUUCUUUGGGGGUUGAUGAUUCCUUAUGUUUAUGUUGGUGUGCCAGCAUCUUAGAUACUGACGACUCUUUCUCCUCUCAGUGUCUUCUCCCAUGUGCUUAUUUAGCUGCUUAGCUAAAGGAUUUGUCUAAUGGUAGUUAAGGAAUUCAGGUGCAGACUCCAACAGGACAGUCGUAGCUGCAGAUGAAUCUCUUUAAUGCUAUCAUCGAACCCCAGCAUGGUUAUUGCUCCCAGUUUUCCUUGUGGAAAUGUGAAACAGGAAUUCAUGGGUUCUUCCUGCAUGACUGAAGGUGUGUCCCACAGGAUGCUUUUGUGCAAGCAUAGGAGGAUGUACAGCAAACAUUUUUACUGCAGUGUUUUCCCCGUUGCCUGGUUCCAGGAGAGCAGAGCUCACUGUUCGUGCAGCAGACAGGUUUAUCCAAGUGCUGGCUCAGUGGCUCCAUGGUGAAAUCAUGUACUGCCUCUGGGCUUCAGAGUGUCAUGUGCAGAGAUUCGCUUUUAACACGACUUGAGUUAAAAUUCCUCUAAGAACUAAUCAGUCCAAGAUCCAUUCCACUACCGCUUUUUCAUGUUCUUGUUUCACUUUUUCCUGUUUGUGUUUCACAUCAGUUCUUUUCAUCUCUGAUUCCUUCACGGCACUUAGACCCCAUCUUAAUUUCAGGGAAGAUAUUUGGAUGCAAAUGAAGUUUUAAUUGGGAUGCUUUUCUAACUACUCUCCCUCCAGGAGAGCUGCCUCAGCCUGGAUGAGUGUGAGGGUACCCAGCUCUCCUUUAGGGCUGGGAGCACGGCAGGGUGCAGAGCUCAUGGUGAAUCUUGUUUCAACACUGUCAAUACCAAAAGAUGUUAGAACACAGUCCUUGAAGGAAUAACGUACAAAAGUCUACUGCAAGCCUAGGGACAAGCUGUCCUUCUUAAAGAUGUGCACUGAUGGAUGUUUUGUCAAACCCCUCUGGGGACGGAAUGUGUGCCAAAAGCUUGGUUAACCCCUUGUCUUCUGCUGCUAGGGCAGCGUCUUAGCCCAGGUCUCGGGGGCUGUGUGGAGGUUGCUCCCUGGAGCAGGGUCCCCCCGUGAGGAGGAGCCAGAGAUUGGGUCACUGGAGCAGGUAAGGAUCUGUUUCCAUUUAGUCCUUGUUUUUGCUGGCUUUAACGUCACGGCUGCAGCGUUCCUUCGGACCUUGUGCCCCGCAGCAGCAGUUCCAGCUGCUGAGCUGGGUGGGGAGCCGUUCUGGGCUGGGGCUUUCAGCCUCCCGGGCGUCCAUUGAAAUCAGCCCUUUGUUUGAUUUCCUUCAGUCUCUGGGGUUUGCCACCCUCGGUGCCACGGGACCGAGCUGUGCGAAGGCUCGAUCCCGUCGGUCCAAAGUCCUGGGCAGCGUUUCCAGCAGCAGGGGCUGGAGGCAUCGGGGGCUGCCUUUGGAGCCUUGUUCUCCCCUUGGCUUUUACAGAGGGUGCCAGACUCUGCCCUUAAGGAUCCAGUGUUGCUUUUGGACGUUGAUCCUGCAGCUGGACAGGCGGUGCAGUGAGGAGCAAGUUGCUGGCUUACGUGAUUUCUGAGUGACCUGUCACAGAAACGGGCAUCUGUGUGUGCAGGUGCUUCCUGGCAAAUCCAGAUGUGACGUGGAAAUCCUAAGGGAGGAGUUCCAGCCUUGACCACGCGUGACACAGGCUUGUGGAAAUGGAAAUGGCCUUGGCAGAAGAGCAGCUGUGAGGUGAAGCAGGACUGCAAUACAGGUGCUGCCCAGGGGGGACAUCUGUGGCCUCAGACAGCGAUGGCCUUGGAGCAAGGGGAGCCUUUGCACAGCUCACCUGCAGAGCUCAGGUGGAUGGGACAGGAUUGGUGUGGCCUGAGAAGUCCUGAACAGCUGUGUCUGUGUUCUGCAGUGCCUUGAAACCUUUCUCUGUCAGGUUUUGGAGGGGUUUCUCUUUAGGAUUUCUUGUGAUGCAGCACCCCGGGUGUCCCUUUGUGCAAAGUCCAGUGGUGAAGGAGGAUUGAGUGAGUGACAAGUGGGGUCUGGCAUGAAAAUGGUUCUGUUAAAAUGGAGCAAAGACUGCAAUAAGAAAAACGAGCAUCCCUUUACUGUCUGAAAGGGUUAGGAAUAAAAAUGCUGGAGAAGGGCACUUUUAUAUUUGAAUUGGUGUCACCUGUCUUGGAUCAAGCCCCACAGUGAGCAAUCCAGAUCAGAAGUGUGUAAGCUGGGAUCCUUUGACUUCUGCAGGGGACUUCAUUUUCUUUUCUUCUUCUUCUCUUCCAGGACCGGAGAAAUGGUUGUGGAAUUAUUAGAUGGCUUUUGUUAGAUGCAGGUUUUAUUUUUUCGGAAGUUUUUUUACUGCAGCCCUUUUAAGAUGGUUUUCAAUAAUACAGUGUAUAGUUUUAUAUUGUUUGUAGGUGGCAUAUGAUAAGAGAUGUUGUCUAGUUAAUGCUGUAUCUUUUAGUUUAGGUGUUGAUAAGGUUUUUCUUGAGUUGAGUUUUGUUUUUGUGUGGUUUUUUUUUUUUUUUUGGUGGGGUCUUGUUUCUAAAGGAUGCGUUGCUAAGGUUUCUGAUGGUGUUAGGGGCUGUAGCGUAAAGCAUAGGGCUGGUUUUCAGUUAUUUUGUGAUGGCUUUUAUUAUUGUGAGUAUUCAGUGUUUGUUUUGGGGGUUUGAGGUAAUGUCAUGUAGCUGAUUUAUUUGUUUUUUACUCUUAUAAUUGGGAUAUUAUAUGGGUUAUGUUAUUUAUAUUGGCUUGUUAUUAUAUCAAAGGGGUUUUAUGUGUUUGGUUUGUUUGAUUAGUAGUGUAUGUUUUAUUAGUUUUAUUAUUAUAUCAUUGGGCUUUUGUUUAUUAGCAGUAUAUGUUUUAUAGUUGCAGAUAAUACGGGAGAUAUUGUUUAUGGUUAUAUUUAUCUUUUGGUUUUGUGUUUAUCUGUAGGUGGUAUUUGUGUAUUGAUGGUUUGAGACAUAAUGGGUUGAUUGAGCUUGGAGUUAACUUCUUUUGGCGUAGUUAAUUUAGGUUUAUUUGUGCAAUUUUUAUUUUUGGGUUUGAUUGGUUUGUUUGUUGUUUUGGUGUUUUUUAUUAUUUUUAUUUUUUGGGAACAUGGAUAUUUAUAGAGUGGAUUAUUUUAGGUAGGUUUUUUUUUUACUGUAGUGGUUUUUUUUUUUUUUUAAUAUUUUAGUGCUUUUAGGUUCUUGUAAUGUUGUCAAUUAGUUUGGGUUUUUAUAUUUCUUUGGUUUUUUUGGAAUGUUUAGGGUCAGUUGCCUUGUUCUGAGUUAAAUAAGAUGGUUUGAUUUAUUUUUUGUAGUAGUUCUUGUGAUUUGUUAUGAGGGUUUCUAUACAGUUUUAUUUCUGUUUCAUAUUUAGGAUGUGAUGGGAAUUGUUAGUGACAAGAGUGUAGUGUGUUUCUUUUUUUAUUGCUGGUAGUGGGUUGUAUGGUGUAGGUUUUGUAUUUUGCAGAGUAUUUUUUGCUUUUAUUUAGUGAGAUCCAAGUUUUUGGUUUUAGGUUCAUUUGUAAUUAUUUUCACCUCUUUGGGGAUUUAGAUUUUUGGUGUGAGUGCCCUGCCUGAUGACAGUAAUUGGUUGAUUUCAUGUGGUAUUGGUGGCAUGGUGGGUAGAGGGCAUUUUUGUUUUGACUAUUAAUUUUAAUAUUGGUAGAUGGGAUAGUAGGAGGAUUUGUGUUUUAGUGUUGAUUGGUUUUGAGGUGGUUUGGAUUUUUUGAUAACUUAAGGUGUUUUGUGAGCUGGUGGAUGUUUUAUGCUCUUGGUAGGAACAUGAUGCUGUUUUCUCGAGUGUAUCCUUAGGAAGUGGAUUUUUUCAUUAGGUUUUUUGUUUGUUUUUCACGGUAAAAUGUGUUUUUAGGAGAACUUGGGUAACUUUAAAUAUAUUUUUGUUGAAGUUUUUUGUGUACUGUAGAUGAUGUGGAGUUUUCUUUUAGUGUAAUUUGUAUAUAAUCUGUGGUAGCCAGUAGGAUUGUGUUUUUAGUUUUGGGGUAGUUGUUUUUAGAUGUAUUGUACGUUUGUUUGGUGAAGGUAAAUUGAGGUUUGUGUUGGGCUGUUGGAGGAACAGAGAAAAAUGCUUUGGCCAUGUUAAUACGAGUGUGCAAUUCAGUUUGGAUUUUAGUUUGUAUUGGAGUUUUAAUACAUUUGGUUCUGUGUUGUGUAAUGGUGGAGUUCUUUAAGGAAUGAUAGCUGGUAGUAGUUUAUUUUCUGUAUGUUGGUGUAUAGGUUGAAUGGGGUUGUUGAAGGGCGUGUGGGUUUUGUUGCUUAGUUUUGGGUUUUGAGUUACGGAGUAUUUUGUGGAUGGGACAAGUAUCUUGAGUUGGGUGCUGUUGGUAGUGUCUUGUUGAGGGGGUAAUUGGUAUUUGUUAGGGUUUUUUAAAGUAGCUUUAUUACAGUUGUUUGGUAGUUGAGCUAAGGUGUUGAUUUGUUUUCUCUUGGUUUGGCAGUAGAUAUAUAAAAUGCUUAUUUGAGUUUUGAGGGCUUCUGGAACAUUUGUACUGGAAGAGAUUUAGAGUGUUUAGAAUGCUUCACUUUUUGGGUUUGUUAUAAUGGGAUUUAAAUACUUCUCUAGCUACUUUGUUAGGUUUUAUUACAGUUAAAUAUUGUGCUUCCUUGAUUUAGAUAUUAACAGAUAUGGGAUUAGUUUUUCUAUGUCGUGAUGGCUUUAGUGUGUGCUGUGUAUGAGUGUUGACAAAGGUUUUAUUGUUUCGGGUGUCCCUUUGUGCAAAGUCCAGUGGUGAAGGAGGAUUGAGUGAGUGACAAGUGGGGCCUGGCAUGAAAAUGGUUCUGUUAAAAUGGAGCAAAGACUGCAAUAAGAAAAAUGAGCAUUCAUUUUAAUGUCUGAAAGGGUUAGGAACAAAAAUGCUGGAGAGGGGCACUUUUAUAUUUGAAUUGGUGUCACCUGUCUUGGAUCAAGCCCCACAGCGAGCAGUCCAGAUCAGAAGUGUGAAAGCUGGGAUCCUUUGACUUCUGCAGGGGACUUCAUUUUCUUUUCCUCUUCUUCUCUUCCAGGACCAGAGAAAUGGUUCCACUCCUCCCAUCUUUGCCAAAAGCUGUGCUGUUUGAGGAGCCAGAGCCAAGAGGCUUCAGCACCAGGGCUCUGCACUGGAGGGCUCCCGGUCCUGCCCCCGCAGGGUUCCCCUUUUCCUCCCCGCUGGGAUGAAGUGUCUAUGGAAUCUGGGAUCUGGGUGAAACUGCAGCUCUGCUGGUAUCCAGGGACGUGAGGUUCCGGGGGACUGCGUUUCCCUGUGGCUUUCCAGGUCGGCAGCAGCCGGAGGAAAUGGGGUGCCAGAGCCGUGCCCCAUCAGGCCGUGUUUGCCUCUGAGGAACAGAGAGUCCGGGCUGA